rnacentral:misc_RNA from 1 species
AAGUCGUAACAAGGUUUCCGUAGGUGAACCUGCGGAAGGAUCAUUACCGAGUCGUCUACAUGAGUUGUUGCUGGUCCUCAAACGGGGGCAUGUGCACGCUCUGUUCACACAUCCACUCACACCUGUGCACCCUCUGUAGUUCUACGGUCUGUGGGGGACAUGCCGUCUUCCUCCUGUAGUUCUAUGUCUUUACACACACACGCCGUAGUGAAGUUUUAUGGAAUGUGCGCCGCGUUUAACGCAAUACAAUACAACUUUCAGCAACGGAUCUCUUGGCUCUC